UACGUAGGGUGCGAGCGUUAAUCGGAAUUACUGGGCGUAAAGCGUGCGCAGGCGGUUCGCUGUGUCCGAUGUGAAAGCCCCGGGCUUAACCUGGGAAUGGCAUUGGAAACUGGCGAGCUGGAGUGUGGCAGAGGGGGGUGGAAUUCCGCGUGUAGCAGUGAAAUGCGUAGAGAUGCGGAGGAACACCGAUGGCGAAGGCAGCCCCCUGGGUUAACACUGACGCUCAGGCACGAAAGCGUGGGGAGCAAACAGG
rnacentral:rRNA from 1 species